UACGAAGGGGGCUAGCGUUGCUCGGAAUCACUGGGCGUAAAGGGCGCGUAGGCGGACUCUUAAGUCGGGGGUGAAAGCCCAGGGCUCAACCCUGGAAUUGCCUUCGAUACUGAGAGUCUUGAGUUCGGAAGAGGUUGGUGGAACUGCGAGUGUAGAGGUGAAAUUCGUAGAUAUUCGGAAGAACACCAGUGGCGAAGGCGGCUCACUGGCCCGGUACUGACGCUGAGGUGCGAAAGCGUGGGGAGCAAACAGG
rnacentral:rRNA from 1 species